UACGUAGGGUGCAAGCGUUAAUCGGAAUUACUGGGCGUAAAGCGUGCGCAGGCGGUUAUGUAAGACAGGUGUGAAAUCCCAGGGCUUAACCUUGGAACUGCAUUUGUGACUGCAUAGCUAGAGUACGGUAGAGGGGGAUGGAAUUCCGCGUGUAGCAGUGAAAUGCGUAGAUAUGCGGAGGAACACCGAUGGCGAAGGCAAUCCCCUGGACCUGUACUGACGCUCAUGCACGAA
rnacentral:rRNA from 1 species